rnacentral:ncRNA from 2 species
CCGAACCAGGGCGAUGGAGUUCGCCCGGAACCGCCUGUCGAACGGACGGCUGAUGACUCCUGCUUGCGC